CUCGCUGAAACAAAGGACCCCAUACGCGUUCAGCCUCAUCUUAAAAAAUGCUUUGAAGGGAUUGCAAGUCUUGUUUUCCAAGAUGGCACCAAGAUUAUCGCCAUGUGUUCAAGCGAAAAUGAAAAGGUGAAGCUCAAGGAGGUGAUUGAGCCAGCCAAUGCAAAGGGGGCAGUUGAAAAGUGGCUAUUACAGG
rfam:Batrachochytrium salamandrivorans strain BS supercont1.391, whole genome shotgun sequence.